GACGAACGCUGGCGGCGUGCUUAACACAUGCAAGUCGAACGGACAGGCCCUGCUUUUGUGGGGUGCUCGAGUGGCGGACGGGUGAGUAACACGUGAGUAACCUGCCCUUGACUUUGGGAUAACUUCAGGAAACUGGGGCUCAUACCGGAUAGGAUCUCCUGCUGCAUGGUGGGGGUUGGAAAGUUUCGGCGGUUGGGGCUGGACUCGCGGCUUAUCGGCUUGUUUGGGGGGUAGUUGCUUACCAAGGCUUUGACGGGUAGCCGGCCUGAGAGGGUGGCCGGCGACAAUGGGACUGAGAGACGCACCAGACGGGUACGGGAGGCAGCAGGGGGGAAUAUGGCACAACGGGGGGAAGCCAGAUGCGACAGCGCCGCGUGCGGGAUGAUGGCCUACGGGUUGUAAACCGCUUUCGCCGGUGACGAAGCGUGAGUGACGGUAAUGGGUAAAGAAGCACCGGCUAACUACGUG
rnacentral:rRNA from 1 species